rnacentral:lncRNA from 1 species
CAGGUACCCAAAAUUUUAUCCGAAUCCAAAUUCAAACGGAGUGAAUUUAUUCGAUGCUGAAUGGAUAUAAUUUCGAACAUGAAUAUCAAAAACAAAAAUCCGAAUGAUUUGGAUUCGGGGAUGAAUUUGAUUGUACCCAAUCCGAACGCAAACCUGACUUGAACCCGACUCGAACCCAAAAUUAUUUUAAGUUGAGCUUGAAUGCUAUUAGUAGCAAACGAACUUCGUUGUCACUCAUUUGUUUUCGAUGAUGGAGCCUCUAAAUUGACGGUCAGCACCGUUGAACAUAAUCUAUACCACUUGAAGUAUCUAAAAACCAAAUUUCAUGAUUUUUCUAUAUUGUUCUCUUGUCCAUCAAGUGGAUAUAAAGAUGAACGGCCGAAAAUUAAUAUUUUUUAAAAAGUGAUGAUAGGAGUCUUGUAAUCAAGAUCAAGAGUAUAGAUCUUAUUUUAAAUAGUUUAAAAAAUUUUCUAAUAAAAAUUUAAUUGAUUUGGAUAUUUUCACGUGCGUCUCAUAUGGACAAUUAAAAUUGUAAAUUUUAAAACCCUUUGAUCAUUAGGCUAAUGAUGUUGAAAAGAUUUGAAAUUUAGCUUUUAGGUACUUCAAGUAGUAUAAAAUCAUGUUUAACGAUACCGAUCUUUAUCUGAAAGGCUGGUCGGAGCUG